AAGAGAAGCAGGAUUUUCUGAGGAAACCCAGCAGUCCCAGCAAAGAAACAUUUGGGGGUGAUCCCUCAUAGAAACUUAACUCUUACUACAUUUUAGUCACCAGGUGCUGUUUUUAUGAGUCUCAAAUGAACAAAGCCACAGGCAUCUCAGGAAAGCCAGUGGUUAAAAAAAAAAAAAAAAAAGGCAGAAAGAGGAAUAGGGAAACAGAGGCAGACAAAACUAACAUGCCAGCCCCUCGGACAGAGGAGACGUUGUACCAUAGAAAGACAGUACCUUUUGGAAGUCAAAGCAGGGUGCUUGGAAAAAUCCCCACCACAUUAUUGCAUUUCUCUUCUUUGUCUCUUCAUGCUGUCUGCUACCACAGGCACACUGGUCAAUCAGACCAGCUCUUCUGUCCCCUGAUGUUCUUUCUCUCCCUGGGUACCCACUGCCUGUGCCCACUCUCUCACCCCUUCAUGUCCUUUCUCAAAUGGCUUCUCACUGAAAGUGUCCCCAACUGCUCUUCUCUUAAAAAAAGAAAAAAAAA
rnacentral:lncRNA from 1 species